AGUGAACGCUGGCGGUAGGCCUAACACAUGCAAGUCGAACGGCAGCACAGUAAGAGCUUGCUCUUACGGGUGGCGAGUGGCGGACGGGUGAGGAAUACAUCGGAAUCUACUUUUUCGUGGGGGAUAACGUAGGGAAACUUACGCUAAUACCGCAUACGACCUACGGGUGAAAGCAGGGGAUCUUCGGACCUUGCGCGAUUGAAUGAGCCGAUGUCGGAUUAGCUAGUUGGCGGGGUAAAGGCGCACCAAGGCGACGAUCCGUAGCUGGUCUGAGAGGAUGAUCAGCCACACUGGAACUGAGACACGGUCCAGACUCCUACGGGAGGCAGCAGUGGGGAAUAUUGGACGAUGGGCGCAUGCCUGAUCCAGCCAUACCGCGUGAGUGAAGAAGGCCUUCGGGUUGUAAAGCCCUUUUGUUGGGAAAGAAAAGCAGCAGGUUAAUACCCCGCUGUUCUGACGGUACCCAAAGAAUAAGCACCGGCUAACUUCGUG
rnacentral:rRNA from 1 species